rnacentral:lncRNA from 1 species
GGACCACCACCUUGACACAUAGCUAGGGUUGUCUUCACACAAAAGGGUUCAGUGUGGAAGGCAGGGUGGUGGGAGGAGGGAGGGGUAGGCCAGGCCCGAGCCCACCUCCAUCCCUCUACAGUAGAGGUCUGGCCACAGUCAGGGACAUAUCCACCUACUUGCAUGGAAGAUGGAAGAGAGGCUCUUGCUUACUACUGACCGCUGAGUUCCUCUACAUGCAUUGCCAGAAAUGUCCAGCAGAGGGCGCCUGGCCCUGUGGAUCUUUUUAGAAGACAGCCGCCCCGGUGCCAGCCUGAGAGAGUCCUCAUUCCAGGCAUAGGAUCUUUGUGCUGAAAAAUUUCCCUUGUGGCUGCCUACAAGCACCGGCAGCCGAGGCCGAAGCUGGCAGGCACAGACACAGCCACGGCCUCGUUGGCAGGCUCUGCCUGGCUUGCAGGUGCCGAGCUGAGGAAAUGGAAGCUGGAGAGUGAAUAACAGCUAGCACCUGUGCUGAGCACGCAGGCAUGCAUGUCGGAGGAGGAGGAUGCCACCCGUGGUGCCCGCUACAAACUAAGAUGCUGUUC